CAAGAGCGUAUGUAAAAGUUGUUGCAGUUAAAAAGCUCGUAGUUGAACCUUGGGUUUGGUUGGCCGGUCCGCUUUUUUGCGGGUACUGGAUUCAACCGAGCCUUUCCUUCUGGCUAACCAGUCGUUUCGGCGGCUGGCGAACCAGGAUUUUUACUUUGAGAAAAUUAGAGUGUUCAAAGCAGGCAUUAGCUUGAAUAUAUUAGCAUGGAAUAAUAGAAUAGGACGUUAUGGUUCUAUUUUGUUGGUUUCUAGGACCAUCGUAAUGAUUAAUAGGGACGGUCGGGGGCAUCAGUAUUCAGUUGUCAGAGGUGAAAUUCUUGGAUUUACUGAAGACUAACUACUGCGAAAGCAUUUGCCAAGGACGUUUUCAUUAA
rnacentral:rRNA from 1 species